rnacentral:lncRNA from 1 species
ACAAUGAGUGUCCACAUGACAAGAAACAGAUGUGGAGAAAGUGGUGAGUAGAGAAAAAGAAAGGGACAGAAACAUGUGGGUUGUUUCUCAUCCGGGGACUACAAUAAUGAGGAGACUUACUCACGAGGACUAGCUGGCUCACUUGAGUAGAGCUACAUUACGAAUGACAACAUUAUGGCUGCUUUGGCUCUCUAUGUGCUCGUCUUUGGGUUCCUAUCAGCAUCACAAACACAAAACUAGACUUGCAGGUCACAGUUCCAUCGGAGAACCAGGAGAUGAUAGCAAUGAACUGCACAGUGGAGCCUGGGCUGUCCGAGUUGAUCAGGAUUGAAGUUAACAAAAAAAGUGACCCACAAGAGGCUGUAUUUCACGAUGUUGUACCAGUUGGAAGUAUUGACGCAUACCAAAGUAUUCAAAGCCACAAUUCGAAGAUCAUCGUUGAGGGUCAUCUAGACAAGACAGGAUGGACAAUGUCUUACCUUAGUGUUACUAUACUGAGAUAUGAAUGUACAGAUGACCGUCUGUACUACUGCAUCGCAACUGGGAGCAGGUCAAGAUUAGUGGCGGAGGUCGACGUCAAAUUUGCAACAACGUCACAGAACUGACCCAGGUAACACCAGACGCCACCAAUCCAACCAACAGCGUCAUCACGUGUCGGCUAAGAACCAAUCAGAAAAUCAAGUCAAUCUCGUUCAUUGGUAUUUCCUGGUCUAAACCGUUGGUAUGACAAAAAUUGGAGUGUUGUAGUUUCGCAAACAGUUCAUUGAAUGACGGACUCGCAUCCACAGGCCCUGCUUUUUCUGAAAAUAUCAUGAAAAUCUCAGGCAACAUAAAUCAGUCAAAUCCAGAAAAAUCACAGCUGAUGGUCAAAUUUCCUUCCGAAACCUGCCAAGAUUCUGCCAAUGAAACGUUCGCUUGCGUCAUCAGAUACUCCGACUCGGAUUCGUCAAGCACGCACCUCGCGCGUGCAGAGCUCGCCGCUCUUGAACCUUGCAGUAGAGGUUUUCCAGAAAUACGUGUCUCCCAGGAAAGGAAAACGACCCAACAAAGUUUACUGUGAACUGUCCUGGGGAUUGGUCUUCUAAAUUUAUUAAUCUGGAGAUUAGUCUGAUCCCGGAUAUACCGUCUAUGCCCUCAAAGCCGGCGCCAUAUAGCCUACUAUAACAGAUUUUCGCCAUCUGGAAUGCCAACCAUGAACCCAGAUUUGGCAAAGAAAGGGGUGUCUGUAAGAGGUGUCUUAGAUGCUUACUUUUCUGCUGGAACCUGCGAGGACACUGGUGUAUACCGCUGUAAGCAGGUGUACCAGUCUACAGGUGAGGCAGCCGUGAAAGUCGUGCUCAGUGAGGCGAGACUUCUACCUUGCUUGCCGGGUGCAGUUGCGAGUGUUGAGAGAUCGUACCCUGCAGACGGUCCCUGGACUGAAACGUUGGUUGCCGGGUAGAUUCACUCCGGGUGGUGGUGCUGGUCAGCCUGGAGGUCAGCGUCGUGAGGAAUGGCACCCGCCGAGUGCUGGCCUACAUCAACAGUUUCCUGAACGAGGCCAAAGUCAGUCACGAGAGUAGCGAUGUACGGGUGGUGGGGGAAAUCCACCCGUAUAAUCCAACUGCAUCCAGUCUUAACGUGACGUCAGAGCUGACGUCGUUGGAAGGAGUGUCACUGUACAUAACCACGUGUACAGCUGUAUACUCCGGCAACGAAACCAAAGGCACUGUUGUUAACUCCAUGGCAGAUGCCAGAGUUCGCUUCCAGAAAUAAGAUUUGGUUGUUGAGGCCUCUCUGGUGGAACUUUAUAUAAACUGCAUUCGCUCUCUUUCUCUUUCUUCCUCCCACCUCGUGCUUUCUGACAGCCCUCACCAAUAAUCAGAAAUGCAGUAUCUUAUAGUCUUAUAGCCUUCACGUAUACUUUGUGUAUAUAGCGCAAAUAUUUUUUGUUUAUUCUUUAGGUCGACCUACUUCUCGAUUAAACAAAACCUAUAUUUUUCAACAUUUAGGCCACAUGUAAAUGUUUUAAAAACGCUCUUUAAAACGGAGUGUCACCGAUAAUUGUCAACAAUGCAGGUUAAUAAAUAUAUAAAAUAUAUAAUUUUUGUUAACUACUGUCAAAAUUUUACUUUUGCUUCGCCAGCUGGUGGCAACGCGCUAUUUCUCCCUACGUAGCACAAGAGUUGAAUAAAUAUAUUCAAGCAACA